GACAGCAGUCGCCACGGUAAUACGAAGGGUGCAAGCGUUACUCGGAAUUACUGGGCGUAAAGCGUGCGUAGGUGGUUGUUUAAGUCUGCUGUGAAAGCCCUGGGCUCAACCUGGGAAUUGCAGUGGAUACUGGGCGACUAGAGUAAGGUAGAGGAUAGUGGAAUUUCCGGUGUAGCAGUGAAAUGCGUAGAGAUCGGAAGGAACAUCUGUGGCGAAGGCGACUAUCUGGGCCAUUACUGACACUGAGGCACGAAAGCGUGGGGAGCAAACAGGAUUAGAUACCCGUGUAGUCCCUGUCUCUUAUAC
rnacentral:rRNA from 1 species